rnacentral:rRNA from 1 species
GAACGCGAAGAACCUUACCUGGGCUUGACGUGCACGUAGUAGUGAAGCGAAAGCGGAUCGAUCCUUCGGGAAGCGUGCACAGGUGCUGCAUGGCUGUCGUCAGCUCGUGCCGUGAGGUGUUCGGUUAAGUCCGGUAACGAGCGCAACCCUUGGCUGUUAGUUACAAGUGUCUAACAGGACUGCCGGUUUAAUGCCGGAGGAAGGUGGGGAUGACGUCAAGUCAGCAUGGCCUCUAUGUCCAGGGGCUACACACACGCUACAAUGGGCCGGUACAAUGGGUUGCCAAGCCGCGAUGCGGAGCUAAUCCUAAAAAGCCGGUCUCAGUUCGGAUUGCAGGCUGCAACUCGCCUGCAUGAAGUCGCGAGUUGCUAGUAACCGCAGGUCAGCUAUACUGGCGGGGGAAUACGUUCCCGGGGCUUGUACACACCG